CAAAGUGACACUGUUCUUUGUACAUAAUUUUUUCUAGACACGUGCAAUUCGUUUUGGUCCUAAUGUGAAUUCGGACAAAUUUUGGAGACGCAUCCGAAUCUCCGAAGUGCCGAAUUGCCAAAGUGCCGAACUGAACUGCCAAAGUCCCGGAUUUCGGAGGUUCCAAACUGAACCGAAUGGCCGAAGUGCCAAAUUUCAGAAGUGCUGAAGUGCUUUGGAUUUCUGAAAAGUGGCAAAAAAAAGAGAGGGAGAGAAAAUUAUGUGAAUGAUG